rnacentral:miRNA from 1 species
GCUGACAGCAGGGCCGGCCAC